rnacentral:rRNA from 1 species
CCUACGGGUGGCAGCAGUGAGGAAUAUUGGUCAAUGGACGAGAGUCUGAACCAGCCAAGUAGCGUGAAGGAUGACUGCCCUAUGGGUUGUAAACUUCUUUUAUAUGGGAAUAAAAUGUUACACGUGUGGGAUUUUGUAUGUACCAUAUGAAUAAGGAUCGGCUAACUCCGUGCCAGCAGCCGCGGUAAUACGGAGGAUCCGAGCGUUAUCCGGAUUUAUUGGGUUGAAAGGGAGCGUAGGUGGAUUGUUAAGUCAGUUGUGAAAGUUUGCGGCUCAACCGUAAAAUUGCAGUUGAUACUGGCAGUCUUGAGUACAGUAGAGGUGGGCGGAAUUCGUGGUGUAGCGGUGAAAUGCUUAGAUAUCACGAAGAACUCCGAUUGCGAAGGCAGUUCACUGGACUGCAACUGACACUGAGGCUCGAAAGUGUGGGUAUCAAACAGGAUUAGAUACCCUUGUAGUC